rnacentral:rRNA from 1 species
UCCGUAGGUGGAUAAUUAAGUCAGAGGUGAAAUCCUGCAGCUCAACUGUAGAAUUGCCUUUGAUACUGGUUAUCUUGAGUCAUUAUGAAGUGGUUAGAAUGUGUAGCGUAGCGGUGAAAUGCAUAGAUAUUACACAGAAUACCGAUUGCGAAGGCAGAUCACUAAUAAUGUACUGACACUGAUGGACGAAAGCGUGGGGAGCGAACAGGAUUAGAUACCCUGGUAGUCC